rnacentral:rRNA from 1 species
UACGUAGGGUGCAAGCGUUGUCCGGAAUUAUUGGGCGUAAAGAGCUCGUAGGCGGUCUGUCGCGUCUGCUGUGAAAACCUGGGGCUUAACCCCGGGCCUGCAGUGGGUACGGGCAGACUAGAGUGCGGUAGGGGAGACUGGAAUUCCUGGUGUAGCGGUGAAAUGCGCAGAUAUCAGGAGGAACACCGGUGGCGAAGGCGGUUCUCUGGGAAUAUCCUGACGCUGAGGAGCGAAAGUGUGGGGAGCGAACAGG